rnacentral:rRNA from 1 species
AGAGUUUGAUCCUGGCUCAGAGCGAACGCUGGCGGCAGGCCUUACACAUGCAAGUCGAACGGUAACGGGCCUUCGGGUGCCGACGAGUGGCGAACGGGUGAGUAAUGUAUCGGAACGUACCUUUCAGUGGGGGAUAACGUAGCGAAAGUUACGCUAAUACCGCAUAUUCUGUGAGCAGGAAAGCAGGGGAUCGCAAGACCUUGCGCUGAUUGAGCGGCCGAUAUCAGAUUAGCUAGUUGGUGAGGUAAAGGCUCACCAAGGCGACGAUCUGUAGCGGGUCUGAGAGGAUGAUCCGCCACACUGGAACUGAGACACGGUCCAGACUCCUACGGGAGGCAGCAGUGGGGAAUUUUGGACAAUGGGCGCAAGCCUGAUCCAGCCAUUCCGCGUGAGUGAAGAAGGCCUUCGGGUUGUAAAGCUCUUUCGCAAGGGAAGAAAACUUAGUCUCUAACAUAGGCUGAGGUUGACGGUACCUUGAUAAGAAGCACCGGCUAACUACGUGCCAGCAGCCGCGGUAAUACGUAGGGUGCGAGCGUUAAUCGGAAUUACUGGGCGUAAAGCGUGUGCAGGCGGUUUUGUAAGUCAGAUGUGAAAUCCCCGAGCUCAACUUGGGAACUGCGUUUGAAACUACAAGACUAGAAUAUGUCAGAGGGGGGUAGAAUUCCACGUGUAGCAGUGAAAUGCGUAGAGAUGUGGAGGAAUACCAAUGGCGAAGGCAGCCCCCUGGGAUAAUAUUGACGCUCAUGCACGAAAGCGUGGGGAGCAAACAGGAUUAGAUACCCUGGUAGUCC